rnacentral:rRNA from 1 species
UGGCGGCAUGCCUUACACAUGCAAGUCGAACGGUAACAGGUCUUCGGAUGCUGACGAGUGGCGAACGGGUGAGUAAUACAUCGGAACGUGCCCGAGAGUGGGGGAUAACGAAGCGAAAGCUUUGCUAAUACCGCAUACGAUCUCAGGAUGAAAGCAGGGGACCGCAAGGCCUUGCGCUCACGGAGCGGCCGAUGGCAGAUUAGGUAGUUGGUGGGAUAAAAGCUUACCAAGCCGACGAUCUGUAGCUGGUCUGAUAGGACGACCAGCCACACUGGGACUGAGACACGGACCAGACUCCUACGGGAGGCAGCAGUGGGGAAUUUUGGACAAUGGGCGCAAGCCUGAUCCAGCCCUGCCGCGUGCAGGAUGAAGGCCUUCGGGUCGCAAAAGGCUCUAUUCCGGAAAGAAAACACUCUUCUAAUAUUGGGGUCCUUGACGGUACCGUAAGAAUAAGCACCGGCUAAAUAAAUGCCACCACCCGCGGUAAUACGUAGGGUGCGAGCGUUAAUCGGAAUUACUGGGCGUAAAGCGUGCGCAGGCGGUGAUGUAAGACAGAUGUGAAAUCCCCGGGCUCAACCUGGGAACUGCAUUUGUGACUGCAUCGCUGGAGUGCGGCAGAGGGGGAUGGAAUUCCGCGUGUAGCAGUGAAAUGCGUAGAUAUGCGGAGGAACACCGAUGGCGAAGGCAAUCCCCUGGGCCUGCACUGACGCUCAUGCACGAAAGCGUGGGGAGCAAACAGGAUUAGAUACCCUGGUAGUCCACGCCCUAAACGAUGUCAACUGGUUGUUGGGUCUUCACUGACUCAGUAACGAAGCUAACGCGUGAAGUUGACCGCCUGGGGAGU